rnacentral:rRNA from 1 species
AUUGAACGCUGGCGGCAUGCCUUACACAUGCAAGUCGAACGGUAACGCGGGGCAACCUGGCGACGAGUGGCGAACGGGUGAGUAAUGCAUCGGAACGUGCCCAGUAGUGGGGGAGAGCCCGGCGAAAGCCGGAUUAAUACCGCAUACGACCUACGGGUGAAAGCGGGGGACCGUAAGGGCUCGCGCUAUUGGAGCGGCCGAUGUCAGAUUAGGUUGUUGGUGGGGUAAAGGCCUACCAAGCCGACGAUCUGUAGCUGGUCUGAGAGGACGACCAGCCACACUGGGACUGAGACACGGCCCAGACUCCUACGGGAGGCAGCAGUGGGGAAUUUUGGACAAUGGGGGCAACCCUGAUCCAGCCAUGCCGCGUGCGGGAAGAAGGCCUUCGGGUUGUAAACCGCUUUUGUCAGGGAAGAAACGCUCUGGGCUAAUACCCCGGGGUAAUGACGGUACCUGAAGAAUAAGCACCGGCUAACUACGUGCCAGCCGCCGCCGUAACAC